UCUUACCAUGUUGAAUAUACCGGCUCGUUAGAUCACCGAAGUCACAGAUCAUUGGGCGUAGUCAGUACUUGGGUGGGUGACCCUCACCUGGGAACACCGCGUGCCGUU